AGUUGUGCAAGUGUCCAUCUAGCCAUACCUAAAGUUCAUAUGAUGUCAAGCAGCAGGCCAUCUCUGCACAUUCUCUCUACCUCAUACUGAUUCAGUCAAGAUUCUGUAUAGCUGCUUGGACUCGGCAGAAGUGGAAGGACCUGACACGGAAAUUGGUAUCUAAAAAAUUAUCAAAUCUCCACUCAUGACCUGGAAAAACGUCUCCUUAGACCAGUUUCAAAAGAGAUGCAAAGCUGCCACUUAGGAGCAUGCAGCAGCUAUUACUGCAGACACAGAGGAUGAUCAUCAGGAUGGGCUGACAAACGACUGUUUAUGAGGAAGAAGAUGCCUCCAACUCCACCAAUAUUCUGUUGCAGGAGGCUUCAGGUUACCAAAAUAAAACUUUUGGUUCUGUGCAGGAGAUGCCACAAGCCUCGUGACCAGUGACUUUACUGCAGCUGUGGGUCCUAGAUCAUCAACAGCAAUCGAUAAUGCUGAGCAUCAACAUAAUUACAGAAGAAGACAAAGAAGAACGAAGAAAAACAUUCUUGAGUUACUGGCAGAAUCGUGGCAAAGCAUAUCUAAGAGCACUGACCAACUGGCAGGUGACAUUAGGGACCAUGACCGAAAGAGACUUGGGGGUCAUGACUGACCACAAGAUGAAUAUGAGUCACCAAUGCGAUGCCACAACCAGCAAAGCAAAUAAAAUCCUGCCUUGCAUCUACCGAUGCAUUUCAAGAAAG